rnacentral:ncRNA from 1 species
CUAUGAAACAAGCCUAACGGUUCCGCCAAGCCACGGCGGAUUAAAAGGGAACGCGGUGAGGAUUACCCAUCAGGGGCCAAAACCGCGGCUGCCCUCGCAACUGUAAGCGGCGAGCUCCGCCUUCGAUAAGCCACUGGUCCCAAGGACCGGGAAGGUGAGGGAGGAGCGAUCGAGCCGCGAGCCAGGAGACCUGCCGUUUCACAACCAUGACG